rnacentral:lncRNA from 1 species
UUCAAGUGGAAGAUCUCAACAGUUGAACAGGAGCAAGUACUUUUAACCCAACUGCUGAAUCUCAGCUAAGGGUUCAGAUUAUCAGGAGAAAAUAUGAUGGACUGGCCAUGGGCAUCAUACAUCACUUGUGAAAGAAGAUCCAGUACCAGAUUAAGUACUGCCCAAGGACCCCAAGAUGACAAACAUUGCCCAUCUCUUUUGAAGUUGAAUUGUCCUCUGCAAUGUGCCUUGUGACUAAGCUUUGGUUGCAUCACAAAAUUCAGAAUUUACAUUGCCAUAUACAAGCUAUGAGUAUAUAUUAUUAUUUCCACUUACAACAUUUAGGGGACUGGAAAUGCUUUCUAUCAGUGUUAACAGACAGGAACUGGCUUGGAAUGUUUCCCUGGACUGAGCACCUCAACGUGGCAGAGAGAUUUCCAUGGGUCAUUCCUUUGCAACUGCAAAGAGUUCACAGCAGGGUCUGUGCUAAUGGAUGA